rnacentral:rRNA from 1 species
UACGUAGGGCGCAAGCGUUAUCCGGAAUUAUUGGGCGUAAAGAGCUUGUAGGCGGUUUGUCGCGUCUGCCGUGAAAAUCCGGGGCUCAACCCCGGACUUGCGGUGGGUACGGGCAGACUAGAGUGUGGUAGGGGGAGACUGGAAUUCCUGGUGUAGCGGUGAAAUGCGCAGAUAUCAGGAGGAACACCGAUGGCGAAGGCAGGUCUCUGGGCCAUUACUGACACUGAGAAGCGAAAGCAUGGGGAGCAAACAGG